rnacentral:lncRNA from 1 species
CAAAAGAUUUUCUUCAUUGCCGCAUGCUUUUUAUAAUGGCAGCAUCAAACCACCAGACCACCAGCAUUGUGCCAAAACUAUAAGCUUUGGGCUUUUUCAUCUAGGAAGCAUUGGUCUUUACGGGCGGGGCACAACGCACAACCUUCUGUAAGGCAGCCACCAAGCAUUGACUCGAUAUAGGAGUGCCAAUAGCAGAAUCGUGAGCUGACACAAUGAUGUAAUUUAGAUGCGUCUUGCAUGAAUUUGGCCCAUCAAUAUUUCUCCGUAAUGGCAGUGUUAUUUUAGCAGUACUUUUGAUGCUUCAUUGACUGGGAAUUGAGCAGACUAAAUAUUUGUGCAAUGAAAGUUAGAGAAAUGCGUGCCUGAAGUGUCUUGAAUGGAAAUGUUGGUGCAGGUAUAAUUAUGACUACCUGAUUGGCACAGGUACACUGACAUCACAAUUGCACCAUGUGGACCACGUUCACUGCAUUUGUAAGGCCUUGUUUUUGGUGUCUCUUUCCUUGAAUAUGUAGCUUGUUCACAAGAAGCACGCUUUUGUGAGCUGGUUUCUCAUGUUUUGGAAGAUGAGAAACGUGCCCUUUCAUAAAGAAGAAAGCAUGCAGACUCUAGUCAUUGCUAAGGUAUGAAUUACAUGUGCCUGCAUUAAUGAAGAAUCAGCUUUCCUUUUAAUGUACAGUGUGGUUUGCAGGGUCUUCUUAAGAAAAAAUAUGUUUGGUAACAUGCUGUUGUGUGAUGUGACUGUUACUUGGAGAAUGUACAAAUGUUGUGCAUGCAUGCAUGUCUAUGUGCUCGGUUCAGCCGGAACCGUAUUUUGGCACUGUCGCCUGUCGUUUCAUGGUGCCUACAGGAGAGUCAUGCACUUACUGGCAUGUGCUUUUAUCCUCCAAUGUUCUCUAUAGUGACAGUUCACAAGGGAGUUGCUCCACACAACUUUCCAAUUAGUAUUGUUGCUCAUGUCUUCAUCUGAUCAUCUUUUUCAUGUACCAUCUGCAAAUUAUUACAUAUAUGAAGCCUAUAAUUGCUGGAGAAGAGUACAAGAGGAAAGACAGCUUGUGCUUCACCAACAUAGAUUUCAGGCCAAGUUUAGGAAGCUGGUAAUUGAUGCUACCUACACAUGUACUUUAUCAACAUAUAGUGAGGUUUUACGAAGCAUGAAACUCUUGAAAAACUUGUGGCUUUUGAACAUAUCUCCACGAGGAAACUACAGACUCUUAUUUAGGACAUUGGACAUUGUAGUGAGGCAACGAACAAGAUGGAAUGAAAUGGUUGGGAGAACAAGAAAAAUGGCUUCAAUGUACUGCCGAUGUAGCAGUGAGGAUGUUCUUUUUUGUAUGUGACAAUCUAUCUUUAAAAUUACUUGGCCUUGGCGUAUACACAAAUUCUGCAUUGGAACUUGCAAUGUUCCCUCCAUUCUGUUUGAAGUGUGAGAAAAUGUGUACCCGAUAUUGUGGCCCAAAAUUGAGAAGUAAGUAUUUUCAUUGUGCAGGAAAUUCGAGUGCUUGGUCAGCUUUUGGAUUUCAUUGCAGCCAUUAACCGUUUUAUAAAGCAAAGUGCUGCUUUUAUAGCAGAUCAGCA